CUAUAUGGUGGCUGUGUUUGGGACGUCUGAUGGCGUGCCGGUCUUAUGUAUUCCUCCGGUUGACCAACCCGAACACAGUCCGCCUCCAUC
rnacentral:antisense_RNA from 2 species